rnacentral:rRNA from 1 species
AAAGACCCAGCUUGCUGGGUGGAUUAGUGGCGAACGGGUGAGUAACACGUGAGUAACCUGCCCUUAACUCUGGGAUAAGCCUGGGAAACUGGGUCUAAUACCGGAUAGGAGCGUCCACCGCAUGGUGGGUGUUGGAAAGAUUUAUCGGUUUUGGAUGGACUCGCGGCCUAUCAGCUUGUUGGUGAGGUAAUGGCUCACCAAGGCGACGACGGGUAGCCGGCCUGAGAGGGUGACCGGCCACACUGGGACUGAGACACGGCCCAGACUCCUACGGGAGGCAGCAGUGGGGAAUAUUGCACAAUGGGCGCAAGCCUGAUGCAGCGACGCCGCGUGAGGGAUGACGGCCUUCGGGUUGUAAACCUCUUUCAGUAGGGAAGAAGCGAAAGUGACGGUACCUGCAGAAGAAGCACCGGCUAACUACGUGCCAGCAGCCGCGGUAAUACGUAGGGUGCGAGCGUUAUCCGGAAUUAUUGGGCGUAAAGAGCUCGUAGGCGGUUUGUCGCGUCUGUCGUGAAAGUCCGGGGCUUAACCCCGGAUCUGCGGUGGGUACGGGCAGACUAGAGUGCAGUAGGGGAGACUGGAAUUCCUGGUGUAGCGGUGGAAUGCGCAGAUAUCAGGAGGAACACCGAUGGCGAAGGCAGGUCUCUGGGCUGUAACUGACGCUGAGGAGCGAAAGCAU